AGAGUUUGAUCAUGGCUCAGGACGAACGCUGGCGGCGUGCCUAACACAUGCAAGUCGAACGGAGCUAUUGACUUCGGUUGAUAGCUUAGUGGCGAACGGGUGAGUAACGCGUGAGCAACCUGUCUUUCAGAGGGGGAUAACAACGAGAAAUCGUUGCUAAUACCGCAUAAGACCACACUGUCGCAUGGCAGAGGGGUAAAAGGAGCAAUCCGCUGAUUGAGGGGCUCGCGUCCCAUUAGAUAGUAGGUGAGGUAACGGCUCACCUAGUCUGCGAUGGGUAGCCGAGCUGAGAGGCUGAACGGCCACACUGGGACUGAGACACGGUCCAGACUCCUACGGGAGGCAGCAGUGGGGAAUAUUGGGCAAUGGGCGAAAGCCUGACCCAGCAACGCCGCGUGAGGGAAGAAGGUCUUCGGAUUGUAAACCUCUGUUCUUGGUGACGAAAAAGAUGACGGUAGCCAAGGAGAAAGCCCCGGCUAACUACGUGCCAGCAGCCGCGGUAAUACGUAGGGGGCAAGCGUUGUCCGGAAUCACUGGGCGUAAAGGGUGAGUAGGCGGUUAUUUAAGUUGGGUGUGAAAUCCCCGGGCUUAACCUGGGAAUCGCACUCAAAACUGGGUAACUAGAGUGUCGGAGAGGAAAGCGGAAUUCCUGGUGUAGCGGUGAAAUGCGUAGAUAUCAGGAGGAACACCGGUGGCGAAGGCGGCUUUCUGGACGAUAACUGACGCUGAGGCACGAAAGCGUGGGGAGCAAACAGGAUUAGAUACCCUGGUAGUCCACGCUGUAAACGAUGAAUACUAGGUGUAGGGGGUGUAUACUCUCUGUGCCGCAGCUAACGCAAUAAGUAUUCCGCCUGGGGAGUACGGUCGCAAGACUAAAACUUAAAUGAAUUGACGGUU
rnacentral:rRNA from 1 species